rnacentral:rRNA from 1 species
UACGUAGGGUGCAAGCGUUGUCCGGAAUUAUUGGGCGUAAAGAGCUUGUAGGCGGCUUGUCGCGUCUGCUGUGAAAUUUCGGGGCUCAACCCCGAACUUGCAGUGGGUACGGGCAGACUAGAGUGUGGUAGGGGAGACUGGAAUUCCUGGUGUAGCGGUGAAAUGCGCAGAUAUCAGGAGGAACACCGAUGGCGAAGGCAGGUCUCUGGGCCGCUACUGACGCUGAGAAGCGAAAGCAUGGGGAGCGAACAGG